ACCUGAUAGAACAGGCAACAGUUCCGGCGGCGGAACCGGCCGUCGGUGACGUCGGCGGUGCCGAGCAGCGGUUCGGCCGCGAUCAUGUCCC
rnacentral:tRNA from 2 species